rnacentral:snoRNA from 1 species
UGUGCACCCAAACCCAAAGGUCCCAUCUUGUCUGUGAGGGGACUUUGUCUGGUGUGCAGACAAAAACCAGAUCCUUGUCGCCUUUCUCUGCUGCUGCAGUGCCUUUGAAAGUGAAUUCAAGGAUCGACACUG